UACGUAGGGUGCAAGCGUUGUCCGGAAUUAUUGGGCGUAAAGAGCUCGUAGGCGGUUCGUCGCGUCGGCUGUGAAAACCUGAGGCUCAACCUCAGGCCUGCAGUCGAUACGGGCAGACUAGAGGUAGGCAGGGGAGAGCGGAACUCCUGGUGUAGCGGUGGAAUGCGCAGAUAUCAGGAAGAACACCGGUGGCGAAGGCGGCUCUCUGGGCCUUACCUGACGCUGAGGAGCGAAAGCGUGGGUAGCGAACAGG
rnacentral:rRNA from 1 species